CAGUUUUAACAUGAUGAGAAAAAUUUAUCAAAUUUAUUAUACAGUUAUCCCUGUCUUAAUAAACAGUGUCGAGAAAUUUUUAUCUGAAAAUUUA
rnacentral:snoRNA from 1 species